GAAACCAGCAAAUAAAUGUACAUUUUACGGCUGUCGGGACCUAGAUUAUGUUUGUGGAACUGAUGGAAAUAGCUAUAUCUGUGCUAACUACCUGGUUUAUGUGAGUUGUUUAGAAGGCAGUGCUGUGACUGUUGCUCACGAUGGUCGCUGUGCAAGAAGGACAACGACCGCACCAACUACUACAGCCAAACUCUGUCCCAGGGCUCGUUGUCCAGAUGGCUCUACUAAAGUGUGUGGUACUGAUGGAAAAACUUACAAGUGUAAAGAAAAGAUAGAAUACACAAACUGUGUAAAUUAUACUG